rnacentral:rRNA from 1 species
UACAGAGGUCUCAAGCGUUGUUCGGAUUCAUUGGGCGUAAAGGGUGCGUAGGUGGCGCCGUAAGUCAGGUGUGAAAUUUCGGAGCUUAACUCCGAAACUGCAUUUGAUACUGCGGUGCUUGAGGACUGGAGAGGGGACUGGAAUUUACGGUGUAGCAGUGAAAUGCGUAGAGAUCGUAAGGAAGACCAGUGGCGAAGGCGGGUCUCUGGACAGUUCCUGACACUGAGGCGCGAAAGCCAGGGGAGCGAACGGG